GCUUAGCCUUAAACCUCAAUAGUUAUAUAACAAAACUAUUCGCCAGAAUACUACAAGCAACAGCUUGAAACUCAAAGGACUUGGCGGUGCUUUAUUCCCCCUAGAGGAGCCUGUUCCAUAAUCGAUAAACCCCGAUCCACCCCACCCUCUCUUGCUCAGCCUAUAUACCGCCAUCUUCAGCAAACCCUGAUAAAGGUUACAAAGUGAGCGCAAAUGCCCCCACCGCAAAAACGUUAGGUCAAGGUGUAGCCCAUGAGAUGGUAAAAAAUGGGCUACAUUUUCUACCUCAGAAAACCCUACGAUACCUCUUAUGAAAUCUAAGAGCCCAAGGAGGAUUUAGCAGUAAAUCAAGAAUAGAGUGCUUGAUUGAACUAGGCCAUGAAGCGCGU
rnacentral:rRNA from 2 species